UGGAGAGAGAUGGGAGCAGGCAUGGCGCCAGGGAAAUUCUUGCCCUUAAAGCUAUCCCCCUUCGUGGACCCAGAAAGAGAACACAUUCCCUCAGAGGGACUCUACAAAGUAGACAAAGUAGACUCUGACGAAGCCCAGAAUGAAUCCCUUCAUUGUCAUUGUAAUAUCUUUGGAAUCCACAGUGAGAUCCUUUAUGUUGUGAGGAAUUGAAACAGUCAAAUUAACAAGAGCGUAUUCGGAGGAAUCAACAAUACAUACUUUGUCAAGUUGCUGCCAGAUUGAAACGCCUUUGCAAAAUUGUGACUGAGACAGUGAAAAAGAUCUAACUUAACCAACUCCAUCUUGCUUCUAACUUCCAAGCUGUCUGUGUUCAUUCCUGGGCAUAAGCUGCUAACUUUGGGAAAAACUUGAUUUGUAGUUUCAAACAAAGAUGAUAACAGCCCUUUCCCAAAGCAGACCUCCUUCUUGUCUAGGGACUAGAUUGCCUUUGUAGGACUAACAAAUUAGCCACAAGAUUAGAAGUUAGGUUUAGGGGUCAUGCAGCUGGAGGCUGCAAGAUUCUGACCCUCCCUAAACUGCCCCUAAGAUCAGUACUUGAGAUAUUUUGCAAACCCUGCAUUUGAUGGAUCCGCUUCCACCACCCAGAUUGAUAAACUGGCUCAUCUGAUCUUGUAGCCUCACCGAGGAACUGACUCAGCACAAGAAGACAGCUUUGACUCCCUAUGAUUUCACCUCUAACAAAUCUGCACUCCUGGUUCACUGGCUUCCCUGUACCCUCAAGUUGUCCUUAAAAACUCUGCUCCCCAAAUGCUGAGGGAGACUGAUUUGAGUACUAAUAAAACACUGGUCUCCUGCACAGCCAGCUCUUCAUGAACUGCUCUUUCUCAAUUGGAAUUCUCCUGACUUGAGAAAUUGAUUCUGUCUAGGCAGUGGGCAAGGUGAACCCAUUGGGUGGUUACAAAACUAUAAUUAGGUACUAGAUACAAAAUGCACAGUGCCCACACAUUGUAGGAAUUGACCAUCUCUAUAAACCAGGAAAACUGCUCCCUCAUACCUCCUGCCCGUGGCAGCUGAAGAGUAAACCCACUAAGAACAUGCCACAAUAAUCACAUCCUACUAAAUACUAUCAUAGACGUUAUGUUCACUGCAUAACAUUCUUGAGAUCAAAGCCAGGUAUGAGCAUUUUAAACAGUUUUAGAGAAAGUAUUUCAAACUAUUACUUUACCUAAAAACCAUUUGCCAGUUAAACCUGGUUUGAAUUCAAAUGCUCUGCUCCACAUGAAAUUCCAACUGACACAAGAACAGAAAAUGAAACACCGCAUAUUCUCACUCAUAGGUGGGUGAUGAAAAAUGAGAACACAUGGACACA